rnacentral:rRNA from 1 species
GAUUAAGUUAUUAAGGGCGCACGGUGGAUGCCUUGGCACUAGAAGCCGAUGAAGGACGUUACUAACGACGAUAUGCUUUGGGGAGCUGUAAGUAAGCUUUGAUCCAGAGAUUUCCGAAUGGGGAAACCCAGCAUGAGUUAUGUCAUGUUAUCGAUAUGUGAAUACAUAGCAUAUCAGAAGGCACACCCGGAGAACUGAAACAUCUUAGUACCCGGAGGAAGAGAAAGAAAAUUCGAUUCCCUUAGUAGCGGCGAGCGAAACGGGAAGAGCCCAAACCAACAAGCUUGCUUGUUGGGGUUGUAGGACACUCUAUACGGAGUUACAAAGGACGACAUUAGACGAAUCAUCUGGAAAGAUGAAUCAAAGAAGGUAAUAAUCCUGUAGUCGAAAAUGUUGUCUCUCUUGAGUGGAUCCUGAGUACGACGGAGCACGUGAAAUUCCGUCGGAAUCUGGGAGGACCAUCUCCUAAGGCUAAAUACUCUCUAGUGACCGAUAGUGAACCAGUACCGUGAGGGAAAGGUGAAAAGCACCCCGGAAGGGGAGUGAAAUAGAACCUGAAACCGUGUGCUUACAAGUAGUCAGAGCCCGUUAAUGGGUGAUGGCGUGCCUUUUGUAGAAUGAACCGGCGAGUUACGAUUUGAUGCAAGGUUAAGCAGUAAAUGUGGAGCCGUAGCGAAAGCGAGUCUGAAUAGGGCGUUUAGUAUUUGGUCGUAGACCCGAAACCAGGUGAUCUACCCUUGGUCAGGUUGAAGUUCAGGUAACACUGAAUGGAGGACCGAACCGACUUACGUUGAAAAGUGAGCGGAUGAACUGAGGGUAGCGGAGAAAUUCCAAUCGAACCUGGAGAUAGCUGGUUCUCUCCGAAAUAGCUUUAGGGCUAGCCUCAAGUGAUGAUUAUUGGAGGUAGAGCACUGUUUGGACGAGGGGCCCCUCUCGGGUUACCGAAUUCAGACAAACUCCGAAUGCCAAUUAAUUUAACUUGGGAGUCAGAACAUGGGUGAUAAGGUCCGUGUUCGAAAGGGAAACAGCCCAGACCACCAGCUAAGGUCCCAAAAUAUAUGUUAAGUGGAAAAGGAUGUGGCGUUGCCCAGACAACUAGGAUGUUGGCUUAGAAGCAGCCAUCAUUUAAAGAGUGCGUAAUAGCUCACUAGUCGAGUGACACUGCGCCGAAAAUGUACCGGGGCUAAACAUAUUACCGAAGCUGUGGAUUGUCCUUUGGACAAUGGUAGGAGAGCGUUCUAAGGGCGUUGAAGCAUGAUCGUAAGGACAUGUGGAGCGCUUAGAAGUGAGAAUGCCGGUGUGAGUAGCGAAAGACGGGUGAGAAUCCCGUCCACCGAUUGACUAAGGUUUCCAGAGGAAGGCUCGUCCGCUCUGGGUUAGUCGGGUCCUAAGCUGAGGCCGACAGGCGUAGGCGAUGGAUAACAGGUUGAUAUUCCUGUACCACCUAUAAUCGUUUUAAUCGAUGGGGGGACGCAGUAGGAUAGGCGAAGCGUGCGAUUGGAUUGCACGUCUAAGCAGUAAGGCUGAGUAUUAGGCAAAUCCGGUACUCGUUAAGGCUGAGCUGUGAUGGGGAGAAGACAUUGUGUCUUCGAGUCGUUGAUUUCACACUGCCGAGAAAAGCCUCUAGAUAGAAAAUAGGUGCCCGUACCGCAAACCGACACAGGUAGUCAAGAUGAGAAUUCUAAGGUGAGCGAGCGAACUCUCGUUAAGGAACUCGGCAAAAUGACCCCGUAACUUCGGGAGAAGGGGUGCUCUUUAGGGUUAACGCCCAGAAGAGCCGCAGUGAAUAGGCCCAAGCGACUGUUUAUCAAAAACACAGGUCUCUGCUAAACCGUAAGGUGAUGUAUAGGGGCUGACGCCUGCCCGGUGCUGGAAGGUUAAGAGGAGUGGUUAGCUUCUGCGAAGCUACGAAUCGAAGCCCCAGUAAACGGCGGCCGUAACUAUAACGGUCCUAAGGUAGCGAAAUUCCUUGUCGGGUAAGUUCCGACCCGCACGAAAGGCGUAACGAUUUGGGCACUGUCUCAACGAGAGACUCGGUGAAAUCAUAGUACCUGUGAAGAUGCAGGUUACCCGCGACAGGACGGAAAGACCCCGUGGAGCUUUACUGUAGCCUGAUAUUGAAAUUCGGCACAGCUUGUACAGGAUAGGUAGGAGCCUUUGAAACGUGAGCGCUAGCUUACGUGGAGGCGCUGGUGGGAUACUACCCUAGCUGUGUUGGCUUUCUAACCCGCACCACUUAUCGUGGUGGGAGAGAGUGUCAGGCGGGCAGUUUGACUGGGGCGGUCGCCUCCUAAAAGGUAACGGAGGCGCUCAAAGGUUCCCUCAGAAUGGUUGGAAAUCAUUCAUAGAGUGUAAAGGCAUAAGGGAGCUUGACUGCGAGACCUACAAGUCGAGCAGGGUCGAAAGACGGACUUAGUGAUCCGGUGGUUCCGCAUGGAAGGGCCAUCGCUCAACGGAUAAAAGCUACCCCGGGGAUAACAGGCUUAUCUCCCCCAAGAGUUCACAUCGACGGGGAGGUUUGGCACCUCGAUGUCGGCUCAUCGCAUCCUGGGGCUGUAGUCGGUCCCAAGGGUUGGGCUGUUCGCCCAUUAAAGCGGUACGCGAGCUGGGUUCAGAACGUCGUGAGACAGUUCGGUCCCUAUCCGUCGUGGGCGUAGGAAAUUUGAGAGGAGCUGUCCUUAGUACGAGAGGACCGGGAUGGACAUACCUCUGGUGUACCAGUUGUCGUGCCAACGGCAUAGCUGGGUAGCUAUGUGUGGACGGGAUAAGUGCUGAAAGCAUCUAAGCAUGAAGCCCCCCUCAAGAUGAGAUUUCCCAACUUCGGUUAUAAGAUCCCUCAAAGAUGAUGAGGUUAAUAGGUUCGAGGUGGAAGCAUGGUGACAUGUGGAGCUGACGAAUACUAAUCGAUCGAAGACUUAAUCAA